rnacentral:rRNA from 1 species
UGGGGAAUUUUGGACAAUGGGGGCAACCCUGAUCCAGCCAUGCCGCGUGAGUGAAGAAGGCCUUCGGGUUGUAAAGCUCUUUCGGACGGAACGAAAUGGUCAGGGUGAAUAUCCCUGACUGAUGACGGUACUGUAAGAAGAAGCACCGGCUAACUACGUGCCAGCAGCCGCGGUAAUACGUAGGGGGCAAGCGUUGUCCGGAAUCAUUGGGCGUAAAGCGCGUGUAGGUGGCUUGGUAAGUCCGGUGUGAAACCUUGGGGCUCAACCCCAAGCCUGCAUCGGAUACUGCCUCGCUCGAGUUCGGGAGGGGAGAGCGGAAUUCCUAGUGUAGCGGUGAAAUGCGCAGAUAUUAGGAAGAACACCGGUGGCGAAGGCGGCUCUCUGGAACGAUACUGACACUGAGACGCGAAAGCGUGGGUAGCGAACAGGAUUAGAUACCCAGGUAGUCCCUGAGCGGGCUGGCAAGGCGCAU